UACGGAGGGUGCAGGCGUUAUCCGGAUUCACUGGGUUUAAAGGGUGCGUAGGCGGGUAGGUAAGUCAGUGGUGAAAUCUUCGAGCUUAACUCGGAAACUGCCGUUGAUACUAUCUAUCUUGAAUACCGUGGAGGUGAGCGGAAUAUGUCAUGUAGCGGUGAAAUGCUUAGAUAUGACAUAGAACACCAAUUGCGAAGGCAGCUCGCUACACGAAUAUUGACUCUGAGGCACGAAAGCGUGGGGAUCAAACAGG
rnacentral:rRNA from 1 species